rnacentral:rRNA from 1 species
AUGGCCAUCGCCUCCCGCAUCACGAAGCGCGCGCUCUCCACCUUCGCCGCCGCAGCCAAGCUCCCGGAGGCGGCCGUCGCGGCCGCCGGCGCCGAGGCGGUGCCCGUGCCGUCGUCCGCGCAGCAGCAGCAGCAUCAGGUGCUGGAGUUUGAGGACACCGGGAGGCUCUUCACCGGGGAGCCGUCCACGGCUCUGGUGCGCACGCUCGCGGCGCUGCAGUUGAUGUCCGCGGGCCCGCUGGUGGACGUGGGCCUCGCGGCGCUGCGGUCUCCGGCGGUGGCCGCGAGCCCCGUGGUCCAGGCCGCGGCGCGGGCCACGGCGUACAAGCACUUCUGCGCCGGGGAGACCGCCGAUGAGGCCGCGGCCCGGGUGCAGCGCCUCUGGCGCGGUGGCAUGGGCGGGAUCCUCGACUACGGCAUCGAGGACGCCGAGGACGGCGCCGCCUGCGACCGCAACGUCGCCGGCUUCCUCGCCGCUGUCGACGUCGCCGCCGCGCUGCCCCCGGGAUCGGCGAGCGUGUGUAUUAAGAUCACGGCGCUGUGCCCGAUCGCGCUGCUGGAGAAGACGAGCGACCUGCUGCGGUGGCAGCACAAGAACCCGUCGGUGCACCUGCCGUGGAAGCAGCACGCCUUCCCGAUCCUGUCCGACUCGAGCCCGCUGUACCUGACGCCGUCGGAGCCGGCGGCGCUGACGGCGGAGGAGGAGCGCGAGCUGCAGCUGGCGCACGACCGGCUGCUGGCCGUGGGCGCGCGGUGCGCGGAGCACGACAUCCCGCUGCUGGUGGACGCCGAGUACGCGUCGGUACAGCCGUCCAUCGACUACUUCACGUUCGUGGGCGCGCUGGCGUGCAACGGCGGCGGGCGGCCUAUCGUGCACGGCACCGUCCAGGCGUACCUCCGCGACGCGCGCGACCGGCUGGAGGCCAUGGUGCGCGCGGCCGAGGAGGAGCGCGUGUGCCUCGGGGUCAAGAUCGUCCGCGGCGCCUACCUCACCAGGGAGGCCCGGCUGGCGGAGUCGCUGGGCGUGCCGUCGCCCAUCCACGGCAGCAUCCAGGACACCCACGACUGCUACAACGGCUGCGCGGCCUUCCUCCUGGAGCGCGUCCGCCGCGGGUCGGCGUCCGUGAUGCUGGCCACCCACAACGUGGAGUCCGGGCAGCUGGCGGCGGCGAGGGCGCAGGAGCUGGGCAUCGGCAAGGGCGACCGGAACCUGCAGUUCGCGCAGCUGAUGGGCAUGGCCGACGGGCUGUCCCUGGGGCUCCGCAACGCCGGUUUCCAGGUGAGCAAGUACCUGCCCUACGGCCCCGUGGAGCACAUCAUCCCCUACCUCAUCAGGCGGGCCGAGGAGAACAGAGGACUGCUCUCCGCUUCCGCCUUCGACCGGCAGCUGCUCCGGAAGGAGCUGGUUAGGAGGUUCAAGAACGCGGUGAUGGGACGGGAGUGA